UAGUCAUAUGCUUGUCUCAAAGAUUAAGCCAUGCAUGUCUAAGUAUAAGCAAUUAUACCGCGAAACUGCGAAUGGCUCAUUAAAUCAGUUAUCGUUUAUUUGAUAGUACCUUACUACUUGGAUAACCGUGGUAAUUCUAGAGCUAAUACAUGCUAAAAAUCCCGACUUACGGAGGGAUGUAUUUAUUAGAUUAAAAACCAAUGCCCUUCGGGGCUCCUUGGUGAUUCAUAAUAACUUUUCGAAUCGCAUGGCCUUGCGCCGGCGAUGGUUCAUUCAAAUUUCUGCCCUAUCAACUUUCGAUGGCAGGGUCUUGGCCUGCCAUGGUUACAACGGGUAACGGAGGGUUAGGGCUCGACCCCGGAGAAGGAGCCUGAGAAACGGCUACUACAUCCAAGGAAGGCAGCAGGCGCGCAAAUUACCCAAUCCCGAUUCGGGGAGGUAGUGACAAUAAAUACUGAUACAGGGCUCUUUCGGGUCUUGUAAUUGGAAUGAGUACAAUUUAAAUCCCUUAACGAGGAACAAUUA
rnacentral:rRNA from 1 species